UGUAGUAAUUUAUUCUUGGGAGGAUACGUUGUUGUUAAUCAUUCUUUUAAAUUUGAUAAUUGAUUAGGAUUAUUUAGUUGUCCACAUGCACAUCCAUUCCCACACUUGAGCUUAGCAUGUGUUUUGUUUGUUGAGAACUUAGGCUACAUGAUGCGAAGACUUUGCAGUACUUUGUUUGAAUGGUAGAUGAGGAAGUAAAAUUGAAGAUAUAUGGCAUGAUCCAUUCUAAAAUCUCUUAAGCUUAACUAGUCACCAGUCCCCUUAUUACCAUACACACAUUACUGAUGCCAGAGUUGGAUCCACCGCCUGCCGGUGCCCCGCUGCUUGCCCCGGCUCCUCCCUACCAUCGAGGAGGAUGUUUGGAAUUCUGCUUGUGGCUUCUGUGUUGCUGUGGCAUGUUUAGAUGUUGCUGCCCCCCACUCUUCGAGUCCGGGCCUCCCCCACCCUAAUUAUGGUGCUGCAUUUUAAAU